CUGGUUGAUCCUGCCAGUGAUCAUAUUCUUCGAUUAAAGAUUAAGCCAUGCAUGUCCAAGAAUAACUAGGUUAAUAAGGAAUCUGCGUAUGGCUCAUUAAAUGAUUUAUUACUUCCCCCAGCACUAGCUUACAAUUGGAUAACCGUUGUAAUUCAAGGGCUAAUCAUGCAUGAAAAAUAGUUUAGUAAUAGACUAUUGCAUUUGUUAGUUACAAACCAUCAUUAUAUAAGAUGAAUCAUGACAAAUUGCGGAUCCUUAUGUAGUAAAAAACGAAGGACGACUGGGUCAGGUCUAUCCCCUAUCAGUUUUCGUAGGAAGUGUAUUGUACUUUCUAGACUAUGACGGGUAACGAAAAAUAAGGGUUUGAUUUCGGAGAAGGAGCCUGAGAGACGGCUACUACAUCUAAGGAAGGCAGCAGGCGCGCAAAUUUCCCAUUGCUUAUCAUAUAAUGUAAGCCAGGAAGUGACGAUCAAUAACAAUGUGUGACUCUUUAUGGGUUAUGCAAUUGGAAUGACUACAAUUUAAAGAGUUUAAGAAGGAUCAAUUGGAGGGCAAGUCUGGUGCCAGCAGCCGCGGUAAUUCCAGCUCCAAUAGGAUAUAUCAAAGUUGUUGCAGUUAAAAAGCUCGUAGUUGAAUUUCUGGAAGGUAGAAGUGUUUUUUUAGAGAAGCAAUUUUUUAUGGAAAGCACCGCUUUCCAUUUUGUGGAUUUCUGUUUUGUAUGAAGAUAGUUUACUCUAUUUUUAUAUAAAAUACCACUCCGUCACUGAGAGCAAAUUGGAGUGCUCAAAGCAGGCUUUAUUAGCUUUGAACAUUUUAGCUUGGAAUGACAAGAUAUGACUUUUGUUUUAUUUUGUUGGUUAUGAAAUAAAAGUAAUGAUUAACAGGAACAGUUGCGGGGGUACUCGUAUUGAUGGGUCAGAGGUGAAAUUCUUGGAUUCUUUCAAGACGAACGACUGCGAAAGCAUUUACCAAGGAUGUUUUCAUUAAUCAAGAACGAAAGCUCGGGGAUCGAAGAUGAUUAGAUACCAUCGUAGUCCGACGCCAUAAACGAUGCCGACUCGGGAUUAUUUUGUUUGUUUAAACUAAAAAAGAACACAAAGUAGCACCGUAUGAGAAAUCAAAGUCUUUGGGUUCCGGGGGGAGUAUGGUCGCAAGGCUGAAACUUAAAGGAAUUGACGGAAGAGCACACCAGAGGUGGAGCCUGCGGUUUAAUUUGACCCAACACGGGGAAACUUACCAGGUCCAGACAUGAUGAGGAUUGACAGUUUGAAAGCACUUUCUUGAUUUCAUGGGUGGUGGUGCAUGGCCGUUCUUAGUUGGUGGAGUGAUUUGUCUGGUUGAUUCCGAUAACGAACGAGACGGGGUGAAUUUACUAGUUUGUUAUAUAAUUUACGUUAUAUAAGACUUCUUUAUUCGACAACUUGGUUUACCAAGAGGAAGCGCCCCGCAAUAACAGGUCUGUGAUGCCCUUAGAUGUUCUGGGCUACACGCGCGCUACAAAUACGAAUUCAACGAGUUUCAAUUUAUUCCUUAUCCGGAAGGAUGUGGGUAAUCUUUUCAAUAUUCGUCGUGAUGGGGCUAGAUUUUUGCAAUUAUUAAUCUUCAACGAGGAAUCUCUAGUAUGUGCAAGUCAUCAGCUUGCGCAGAAUGCGUCCCUGCCCUUUGUACACACCGCCCGUCGCACCUACCGAUUGGACGAUCCGGCAAGAUGUUUGGAGUUGUUUUGAUUGUAGAGUAAUUUAUGAUGAAAAUGACAAAGCUCUUCAAACCUUAUCGUCUAGAGGAAGGUGAAGUCGUAACAAGGUC
rnacentral:rRNA from 1 species